GGGGCAUUGGCGCAACUGGUAGCGCGUUUGGCUGGCAGCCACAAGGUCACGGGUUCGAGUCCCGUAUGCUCCA
rnacentral:tRNA from 1 species